GACGAACGCUGGCGGCGUGCCUAAUACAUGCAAGUAGAACGCACAGAUUAUACCGUAGCUUGCUACACCAUAAACGGUGAGGUGCGAACGGGAGGGUAACGCGUAGGUAACCUGCCUGGUAGCGGGGGGGAACUAUGGAGAACGUAAGCUAUAACCGAAUAAUAUUAAUUAUUGCAUGGUAAUUGAUGGAAAGAUGCAAUUGCAUAGCUACCAGAUGGCCCUGCGUUGUAGUAGCUAGUAGGUGAGGUAACGGCCUACCUAGGCGACGGCACAUAGCCGACCUGGGGGGGUGGUCGGCCACACUUGGACUGGGACACGGCCCAGACUCCUUCCGGGGGCAACAGUAGGGAAUCUUCGGCAAUGGGGGGAAGUCUGGCCGAGGAACGCCGCGUGAGUGGAGGAGGUUCUCGGAUCGGAAAGCUCUGUUGUAAGGGAAGAACGAGUGUUAGAGUUGAAAGUUCACGCUGUGACGGUAUCUUACCAGAAAGCGACGGCUAACUACGUG
rnacentral:rRNA from 1 species